rnacentral:rRNA from 1 species
GACGAACGCUGGCGGCGUGCCUAACACAUGCAAGUCGAACGGAGUAAGCUCUUCGGAACUUACUUAAUGGCGAACGGGUGAGUAACGCGUGAGAAACCUGCCUUUCAGUGGGGGACAACAGUUGGAAACGACUGCUAAUACCGCAUAAUGUUUCGAGAGGGCAUCCUUUUGAAACCAAAGCUUUAUGUGCUGAAAGAUGGUCUCGCGUCUGAUUAGCUAGUUGGUGAGGUAACGGCUCACCAAGGCGACGAUCAGUAGCCGGUCUGAGAGGAUGAACGGCCACAUUGGGACUGAGAUACGGCCCAGACUCCUACGGGAGGCAGCAGUGGGGAAUAUUGGGCAAUGGGGGAAACCCUGACCCAGCAACGCCGCGUGAAGGAAGAAGGCCUUCGGGUUGUAAACUUCUUUUACCAGGGACGAAGAACGUGACGGUACCUGGAGAAAAAGCAACGGCUAACUACGUGCCAGCCGCCGCGGUAAUAC